GGACUACUAGGGUUUCUAAUCCUGUUCGCUCCCCACGCUUUCGCUCCUCAGUGUCAGUAAUGGCCCAGAGACCUGCCUUCGCCAUUGGUGUUCCUCCUGAUAUCUGCGCAUUCCACCGCUACACCAGGAAUUCCAGUCUCCCCUACCACACUCCAGUCCGACCGUAUCGAAUGCAGGUCUGGGGUUAAGCCCCAGAUUUUCACAUCCGACGUGACGAACCACCUACGAGCUCUUUACGCCCAAUAAUUCCGGACAACGCUUGCACCCUAUGUAUUACCGCGGCUGCUG
rnacentral:misc_RNA from 1 species